rnacentral:lncRNA from 1 species
UGAAUCACAAUAAUUGGAGGCAUAAUUUCACAACUUUCAUCAAGAGCACAUGAACACGUCAACAAUGGUGAAAUACAAGAAAAACCUAGAAGAGGGUGAGGAUACCUCUCUACCCUUCAUAUAAUAUACACCCAUAGAAGAGUAACCACUUACCUUGGAUUUCCAGCAAAACAAGCUCUAAGCCCCUCAGCAAUGGUGUUUUC